CUAUCAAUUUUAACUAGACUUACACAUGCAAGUAUCCGCACCCCAGUGAAGAUGCCCAUAGUUCCCCGCCCGGGAACGAGGAGCUGGUAUCAGGCACACUCUCGGUAGCCCAUAACACCUUGCUUUASCCACACCCCCACGGGGAAUUCCAGCAGUGAUAAACAUUAAGCCAUAAGUGAAAGCUUGACUUAAUUAAAGUUAAAUAGGGCCGGUAAAUCUCGUGCCAGCCACCGCGGUUAAACGGGAGGCUCAAGUUGAUAGACAUCGGCGUAAAGCGUGGUUAGGGGCCCAACUUUAACACUAAAGCCGAACGCUCUUAGAACAGUUAUACGUACUGAGAGUAAGAAGAUCAAUUACGAAAGUAGCUUUAUUCAAACCUGACUCCACGAAAGCUAAGGCACAAACUGGGAUUAGAUACCCCACUAUGCUUAGCCCUAAACAUAGACAGUUGUUUACCCCCACUGUCCGCCCGGGUACUACGAGCAUUAGUUUGAAACCCAAAGGACUUGGCGGGCUUUAGACCCACCUAGAGGAGCCUGUCCUA
rnacentral:rRNA from 1 species